GAACAGGAAUGAUCUCUAGAUCACUGAAUGAAAUUCUGUCUUUUUUUUUUUUGCUCCCAGGCCAGUCAGUGAGGUUAGGGAAAUAAUUAUCCCUGUUGGUGGCUGUGUAUAUCAACCAAGUGAAGAGGCUGAGAUCUGUAAGAAACGAAGUUUGUCUUUUUCUCCAAAUUUGGAUACUCUGUGAUACCAGGAUGUGUGGAGCCAGCAACAGGCCAGGGAAAGACUACAACUCUUGGAUUCCCAUGUUUUAAGCAGAACACUGAAAAGCUUAUGACAUUUUUUCCCCUCUGGAAUGAAAUGCACAUAUUUAUUUUGGCUUGUGCUAACCCUUGAAAGAGAGAGAGAAAAAAAACAGCUAAUCCCAUAAUCAGCAGUGGGGACUUUCAGACCUUUAAAACAGUGAUGUAAGUAAACUUUCUUUUCCCAGAUGUUGAAGUAUUGUGGCAACACGGACAUUCUGAGUACAGGUUAAGCUUCCUCUUUUCCCAACCAUUGCCUACUCACUAAAGCAAAUACCUUAAUGCAGUAUCUAAAGUACCUGUCUUGUAUGACUUCCUGCAGGAAUGCAUCUGCAGUUGUGUUGUGAUGGGGCCAAAUGAUUUCAUUUGGUAGAAGCUUGUUGUCUUGAGC
rnacentral:lncRNA from 1 species